rnacentral:rRNA from 1 species
UGGGGAAUAUUGCACAAUGGGGGAAACCCUGAUGCAGCGACGCCGCGUGAGUGAAGAAGUAUCUCGGUAUGUAAAGCUCUAUCAGCAGGGAAGAAAGAAAUGACGGUACCUGAGUAAGAAGCCCCGGCUAACUACGUGCCAGCAGCCGCGGUAAUACGUAGGGGGCAAGCGUUAUCCGGAAUUACUGGGUGUAAAGGGAGCGUAGACGGUGAAGUAAGUCUGGAGUGAAAGGCGGGGGCCCAACCCCCGGACUGCUCUGGAAACUAUUUGACUGGAGUGCAGGAGAGGUAAGCGGAAUUCCUAGUGUAGCGGUGAAAUGCGUAGAUAUUAGGAGGAACACCAGUGGCGAAGGCGGCUUACUGGACUGUAACUGACGUUGAGGCUCGAAAGCGUGGGGAGCAAACAGG